ACUUACCAAUGCGCUAAACGAAUGCCACCCAAAUUGAAUACUGCAGCGCAGGGAUCUUUAAGGAGGUGGUCGGUUUCUCUUCGAGGGACCUUCUCAUGGCUAAACGUCAAAGCUGCAAGGUCCGAUGAUUAAAAGCUCAUGACGGGACACUGCAAAUGGGUCUUUAUACUUUGUGAGGACAUUUGUACGUACUACAUUUGUUAAGCCAAGCAUAUGUAAGUGAGAGAUCGGAGUGAUUAUCAUCCCUUGUAUGAAGACGUUAUAAGGAGACUCUUACACGCCUGAGGUCAAAAUCCGAAAAACAAAAGUUAAAGUUGAAGAAGAGCCAUGAGAAAAUGUACCUUUUCCAGUCGGGUGACUCCGAGGAGUUGUGCAAACUGUAAAAAUCCCCUAUGCCUAAUCCCCAAGCUAAGCCAUAGAUCUUUUGAUGAUGAGAUCUCAAAAAAAAAAAAAAAAAAUCAUAGAGGAAUGACAACGCGGGAGAUCAGUCCUUACCUUCCUUUUCGUUAAAUUUUCGGGCUGACCAAAAUCAGCGAUAUUAUUGCCCAAGAAUUACCCAAACCAGCUACAUUCCGGCUUCACCGAACUUGGAACCUGAACGCUUAUUGACAUACCUGUAUAUGUAUUCUGAUAUGCAUGC
rnacentral:sRNA from 1 species